UACAGAGGUCUCAACCGUUGUUCGGAUUCAUUGGGCGUAAAGGGUGCGUAGGCGGUCGCGCAAGUCGGAUGUGAAAUCUCAGGGCUCAACCCUGAAACUGCAUUCGAUACGGGCAGGCUAGAGUUCGGUAGGGGAGACUGGAAUUCCUGGUGUAGCGGUGAAAUGCGCAGAUAUCAGGAGGAACACCGGUGGCGAAGGCGGGUCUCUGGGCCGAUACUGACGCUGAGGAGCGAAAGCGUGGGGAGCAAACAGG
rnacentral:rRNA from 1 species